UGGGGAAUUUUGGACAAUGGGCGAAAGCCUGAUCCAGCAAUGCCGCGUGCAGGAUGAAGGCCUUCGGGUUGUAAACUGCUUUUGUACGGAACGAAAAAGCUCCUUCUAAUACAGGGGGCCCAUGACGGUACCGUAAGAAUAAGCACCGGCUAACUACGUGCCAGCAGCCGCGGUAAUACGUAGGGUGCGAGCGUUAAUCGGAAUUACUGGGCGUAAAGCGUGCGCAGGCGGUUAUGUAAUACAGAUGUAGCAAAUGCCCCAGGGCCUGCAACCUGGGAAUCUGCAUUUGUGACUGCGAUGGCUAGA
rnacentral:rRNA from 1 species